AGCAGCCGCGGUAAUCCCAGCUCCAAUAGCGUAUAUUAAAGUUGUUGCAGUUAAAAAGCUCGUAGUUGAAUUUUGGGUCUGGGCGGGCGGUCCACCUUCCGGUGAGCACUGUUCCGACGCCGGGCCUAUCCUUCUGGUGAGUCGGCAUGCCCUUCGCUGGGUGUGUCGGGGAACCAGGACCAUUACCUUGAAAAAUUAGAGUGUUCAAAGCAGGCAUUUGCUCGAAUACAUUAGCAUGGAAUAAUGAAAUAGGACGCGUGGUACUAUUUUGUUGGUUUCUGGGACCGCCGUAAUGAUUAAUAGGGAUAGUUGGGGGCAUUAGUAUUCAAUUGUCAGAGGUGAAAUUCUUGGAUUUAUUGAAGACUAACUUCUGCGAAAGCAUUUGCCAAGGAUGUUUUCAUUAAUCAAGAACGAAAGUUAGGGGAUCGAAGACGAUCAGAUACCGUCGUAGUCUUAACCAUAAACUAUGCCGACUAGGAAUCGGGCGAUGUUAUUUUAACGACUCGCCCGCGCCUUAUGG
rnacentral:rRNA from 1 species